AUGGCUACAAAGAAAUAUUUCUUCCAUUGUGGUUCCUUCACAAUUAAGGGCGGCUCGAAAAUUAGAUUCUUGAAGGAUAAGUGGCUAGACAAUGCUACACUCCGGAAUCAAUAUCCAGCUCUAUAUAAUAUUGUAUGUCACGAGGGUGAUACUAUCGCCACGGUUAUGGAAUCUUUUCCACCAAAUGUGACGUUUAUAAGAGAUUUACUUGGACCCAUACUCCAAUCGUGGAACACCCUGCUGCAGCGGUUGUCCACGGUGCAAUUGUCAUAAGGUUCCGAUAAAUUUCGUUGGAACCUACAUGGGAAUGGUCAAUUCUUAGUGGAGUCUAUGUAUAGAGGAGCGCUCCAGGCAGAUGUGCCAAUUGAUAAUAAUAAGAUCUAG
rnacentral:rRNA from 1 species